rnacentral:rRNA from 1 species
GGGGGGGGGGGGGGGGGGGGGGGGGGGGGGGGGGGCGGGGGGGGGGGGGGGGCGGGGGGGGGGGGCGCGGGGGGCGAGCGGGGGGGUGGCACGGGGGUGGCCUGGCCUUGCCGUGGGGAUGACGUCCGGAGGCUGGGGCUGCUACCGGCGCGUGGCUCCUGCUGCAGGGUGUGGGUGGGGACGUUUUGGCGGUUGGGGAUGGGCUCGCGGCUUAUCGGCUUGUUGGUGGGGUAGUGGCUUACCAAGGCUUUGACGGGUAGCCGGCCUGAGAGGGGGACCGGCCACAUUGGGACUGAGGUACGGCACAGACUCCUACGGGAGGCAGCAGGGGGGAAUAUUGCACAAUGGGCGGAAGCCUGAUGCAGCAACGCCGCGUGCGGGAUGACGGCCUUCGGGUUGUAAACCGCUUUCGCCUGUGACGAAGCGUGAGUGACGGUAAUGGGUAAAGAAGCACCGGCUAACUACGUG